rnacentral:rRNA from 1 species
GUGGUCAUUCAUCAGCGUGUCGUCCGCGACACCGGCGGGGCCUGGCCCAUGCUGACACGCACCAACUACGCAGAUUGGGCCCUCCUGAUGCAAGUCAUGCUGGAGGCGCGCCAGCUCUGGGUCGCCGUCAACGACGGGACUCUGGAGCGCGAGACAGAUCGCACGGCAAUGGAGUGCCUGCUACGAUCGGUGCCGCCGGAGAUGACGUCCACGCUCGCCGUCAAGCCCACGGCGAAGGACGCCUGGGGCACGAUUAAGACGAUGCGGCUCGGCGUGGCGCGUGUUCGUGAGGCCAAGGCGAUGUCUCUACGCCGCCAGUACGAGGCGAUCAAGUUCAACGACGGCGAGAGCAUCGACGACUUCAGUAUGCGCCUGUCCUCUCUGGUCACUCAACUUGAGUUGCUAGGUGACAAGAUCGGUGAGCCCGCCGUCAUCCGCAAGUUCCUCUCGGUCGUCCCC